rnacentral:lncRNA from 11 species
GGCCAGGGCUGGACCAGUAUAUUACCUUCAACUGUUUGUUGUUGACAUUUUGAUUUAUUUUCAUCAUCAUCAGGAAGAAACGCAAAAUUCUGCGUGAGCGACGCCGGCAACGAGAGCGUGUUGAGCUUAAGAUGGAUCUUCCUGGAGUCUCCGUUGCCGAUGACGGAGACACGGGGAUGUUCUCUCUCCGGGCCAUUGGCAAAAGUCAGGUAAGGGGGUAGAGGCCUUCCGAGCCUGGGACCCCCUAGGUGCCCUGGACUACGAUGCCCAUCAUCCAUUACCAACAUGAUAAAUGCAGACUGUGGUGGUAUCAGAUAUAGUAUGAUAUUUCUGGAAGUCUACAUACUAAGGAUGCGUCCACACUAUUCUGUGAGAUCAUGAGUUAUGGUUUGGGGAGGCACCAGCAAUAUUUGGCAGAGAAGGCUAAAGACCUUCUAAAACGACAACCCCCAUGCUUCCAUAAUUGAUCCAUAACUGAGUGGUAUCAAACUGCCUUAAUUCUAUAGUGUAGAUGCACCCUGAGAAAGGCCCACUUAGGUGAUAAUGGCAAGGAAGGAAGUACUUAGCUGUUGCAUGUACUGUUGCUGCAUUCCAGUAAAUUACAUAAUGAAACACAACAGUUAUCCUUUCUUCUCCAGCUAUUACAUGAUGUGACCAAGGGUGAUAUGGCAGCAGCAGACACCUUUGUGGCCACAGAAGGCAAUGCAGAAAAUGACUUCUCGCUUUCAGAAGGUGAAGACUCCGAUGAUGAUGUGUCUUUGGCCAGUGAGCUGGAUGACGAGGAAAUAGCAGAAGUUGAAGAGCGGUCAAGCCAGAUGCAGCGAGCUAAUGUCCAAGACAAGUAUGUGCAGAGUGUUGCCUCAGAAGAGGAAGAAGAGGAGGAGAACGCAGAGGCAGGGAAUCCUUUGUUGAUCUCACUGGAAGGCAAGGAGGAGCAUGAUAAACAUCAGACAAAUCUGUGGUUUGGAAAAGUAAGCAUCUGUAAUUCUUUUCCUCUUCCAUGCAGUGAUGUGACUUCUCUGGAAACCAAAAUUGUAG